rnacentral:rRNA from 1 species
AUGUCGAGCUCUGGUUUCAUGGCGUUCGAGAUCAGCUCCAAGGCACACAGCCACCGAGCCAUGGGCCAGGGCCUGGUCCGCGUCUACUCGCCGAUGGCCACCGUCGGCGGCCACUGCUGGAGGCUGGCCUGCUACCCGUACGGGGACGCUCCACGCGUACCCGCCCUCACCCGCUUCGCCUCCAUCUACCUCGAGCUCGUGAGCCAUCCGACGCAUGCCGUGAUGGCCACCUUCGACGCCUUCGCCGUGCACGGCGACGGAUCGUCGCCACCGUCCCACCACAACCAAUGCGUGCACGUCUACUCGCCGGACGACCGCGGUUUUAGGAGUCCCCGCGGGUUUCCUGAGUUCAUCCCCGCCGACACCCAAUUCAACGUCAACGACAUGACUGUCAUGUGGAGGGUCACGGUUGCGCGAGACGCUUCCUUGUCGAACCAGCUCGGCCGCCUGCUCGACCGUGGCGCCUGGACCGACGUCGCCUUUGAGGUCGCCGGCGAGACCUUCCGCGCCCACCGCGCAGAGGCGCAGCUCUUCGGCGGCAUGCUCGAGUCCUCCUCGUCCUCCUUCCCCAUCGCUCUGGAGGACAUCGAGCCCGAGACCUUUGGAGCAAUGCUCCGGUUCAUCUACACCGACACCCUGCCGGACGACGCCGACGGCGAGCCCCCCAACAUGGAGGUGUUGGAACGUCUCCUCGCCGCGGCCGACCGGUUCGCGCUUGACGGCCUCAAGCUCGAGUGCACCCAUAGGCUGCUGAGCACCGUGUCUCUGUCGACUCGGUCGUCGACAUGCUACGCUUGGCCGAGACGCACAACUGCGCCGAGCUCAAGGCACGAUAUCCGUCAAGAUGUGCUUGCGACGUAUCCAAUUGAAGGAUGUGUCCAAAUAACGUCUGGACCGAAACACGCCCUACAUCAAGAUUGUAGGGCUGGACAAGACGGUGCCGUGGACACCUCAUACAACCGCACAUACAAGCAUGUGCAGUCAUAUGAGAUGCCAUCUUGCACUCUGUGGAUUCAUGAGUCAUUAGUACAAAUAUUGGAGCGUAUAUCUCGAGGCGUGGAUGGCUGUGGUGUCGGCGUGCUAGUUGAACAGGAACUCGAUGUUCCCGAAGUGGAUGUAGUCGAUGACGGGAGGGGGCAUCACAUCGUAGAGCAACCCUCAAUCGCCGACCUCAAGCUCGAAGGAGCCAAAGGUGAAGGUCUUGCUCAACAUGAAGUCGUCGGGCAUCCCUCCGAGCUCCCUCCUGUCACUAACUCCUUGGCAGGCCCUCCGGACCUCGUGGUUGCUAUGCUGCCGAGCUCCCUAUGGAGCACCCUGGCGAUGUGCAUCAAGGUAUGCCAAAACUGGGAGGUAGCACUUCAUGCAUGGUUGGAUCGUUUGAUGCAAUACUAA